rnacentral:lncRNA from 1 species
CGGUGGAAGCUGAAGCGGGGGCGUUAUGAUCUGAUCUUUGUAGGUAACGUACAUGGACAGCUUGUCGUAGUGAAUGGAGACUCUCCGGUUCGGGUUUCUGGCCAAGACGGAGAACUGGACGGAGGUUGAGAUUAACGGCGGCGCCGUGAAGUUGAGGUCGUAUAUGGCGGCUCCUACGACGGUGAGGCGUGGCUUGUGUGGACGGUAGACGAGCCAGAGUAUUAAAACGAUGAUACCUAGUAAGACGAGGAUGGAAAAGAUGGCGGCGCAGAAUGCGCGGU